AGGGAGGCACUCCUUUACAGAGACUCGAAGGACCCAAAGGUGUCAGCAGCGGGAAUCGAGGUCAGAACGGGCAGGAAAUGGAAAGCAGGUGAGGCACUUGAGGUGGCGGAGUCCCGGCUGAGGCAGAGGGAGCUUGUGGGGAAUGUGGCCAGAGGCCGUGCUGGUCUCGGUUACUUCCCCAGUAUACAAGUUCGCAAAGCCAUUGGCAAAGACAGGCGUCUUCUUCUCCAGGAGGAGGUUCGAGCAGGCGUGGAAGAAGAAAGAGCAAGCAGGAUGGUGAGUCUAAGACAGCAAGGGGCAUGGACAAAGUGGGAAUCUGUACAGCAGCGAAGGGUCACCUGGGAUAACAUCCUGCGAGCAGACUACUACAGAGUCCGUUUCCUGAUCCAGACGGUCUAUGAUGGCUUACCAAGCCCGGCAAAUCUCCACGUCUGGGGCAAGAUCGAAACACCAUCUUGCGGGCUGUGCUCUGGAAGAGGAUCCCUCGAACAUAUCCUCAGCAGCUGCCCAAAGGCACUUGCAGAUGGUCGCUACCGCUGGCGGCAUGAUCAAGUGCUCAAGGCAGUUGCGGAGAUAGUAGCUUCGGCUAUAACGACAAGCAAACAACGUCGUCCAAAGUCCAUCAACUUUG